GAAAUAGUCCUAACACACAGCAGAGGUGGGAGCCUUGGGGAAGAGGAAGCAAAAAUGGUGACAGUUUAGAGCUUGCAGGAAUAAGCAAAAUUAUCUCAAAAGUCUACAGUAUUAAUUAGCUUUUACUUUUUAAAGUGACUAAUAAAUUAGCUAUCAAUUGCCAGUUAACUUAAGUUUUUAAGGCUCUGAAUUACCCAUUUUUGAGUUUUUUUUUAUUGAGGUGUGAUUGACAUACAGCUGAUUUUUGACACAUGGCUUUCAGAGUUUCUGACAGUCCCCGCAUAGCAAAGAGCUGUUUGAGUAAACACACUAUCAAAUUCAUUUUGAUUUAAUUAUUAGAAUGUUUCUUCCAAAAGUUGCAGAGCUGGGUACUUAUACAUUUUUAUUUUUUAGAAUCUGCCUUUAACUUUUUCAGAAUCAUCCCUAAGUUAAAUUUACAUUUUUUUCUCUUCUUGAGUUUUAGCAUCUGGAACCUAUUAUCCUUGAUUUUUCUAAGAGAGCCGAAUAUCCAUCUAAAUGUUUUAGAAUUAUAUCAAGUUCCGGUUGUUGGUGUGGCAAUGCCCAUCAUGUGGUUCUACCUCCUCAUGAAUGUCAUCACUCAGUAUCCUUCGUACUCCUCUGCCGCAUGGUCUUCUUUGGCAUGGGAUUGUCUAUUCCCUGACAGUUCAGUGACAUGAGUUUCAUUUCUGCUUUGAUCUGUUCUGCAGUAGGAGGAGAAAGGCCCAUCCAUUGAGGUCACUGUGGAGGGCCAAAGAGAUGAUAGUGGGUGCCGAGGUCAGCAGGGCACAGAGCACUGUGAAGGAGGUGCUCGGGGUGCAGGUGUAGAAGUCAGUGGGUGAUCAAAAAUUAGUAUGACAUGCAUGCUCUGUGAUUUCUACCUGGAGUUUUCUAGUAUCCUGGGACAUUUCACAAGCUGCCACAAAAUUCUGAAAGAAAUUCCAAGUGAAUUAAAACUAAAAUAAUGCUUCUUUCGAACGACCUUAAGUCCAUUAUAAAAACUGUGAAGUCUAUGGAACAGAUGAGAUUGACUUCAUUCCUUUCAUGUCACCUCAUAGAUUUGCCUUACAGAGUUCUUUUUUUGGAGAAGGGGUGGAAGGACUGGGGACCAGAUCAAGUAGAGAACCCUUUCACUGUGUGGCACUGGCUUUGCACCUUGUUUGUCUUCAUUGGGACCCUCAUGUACACAGAGGUGUGGAACAACCUGGGGAUCACAAGAAGCCAGCCUCAGUAGGAGGACAAGAAGAACUGAGGCCUGCCUGGGAGACCAGGGUCUGGCUAAGGUCUGGCUGCCAUUUCUCUUUUGUUAAUGAGAAUUACCCCCAGCACUGAACCACCACGUACCAGAGAAUCCUCAGAGGAGGGGACUUCCCAGAUUUCACAUGGCUUUACAGACCAACAUGUGUAGACUCUGAACAGAAACCUCUCAACCCUGAAUUAGAAAAAAGAAUAGUUAUCUAUUGAACAACCAUUUGUUUACCAAAAUAUAUAGUACUGUACUUGUUUAUUGAGUCCCCGAGCUACUCGUUUUAUAUCCAUGGUCUUGCACAAGGCUAUCCAUUUUGUUGUUCUGAUGAUUCUCUGCCAUAACAACCAUUAUCUCGUGUCCCCAUGCUUUGGUCUGUCACCUUCCACUUUUCCAUCAGCCAGAUGUUCCCGGCAUCAUCGUCAGGAACAACUGAGUGACCCAGUGCAGUGAGACACUGGGGACAGGGCUGGGCUUCCUCCGGGGCAUGGGAGCGAGGCAGUGGUCUCUGUGAGCUGAGCUCUGGUGACAAUGGAGCAGGACUGGUGGGAACCCUUUGCAAUUGUGCAGGUUAAGUCUCUGAAAGGCUCUGCAGCGAGAAGGUUGAACUCUGCCUGGCGAUUCUGAUAGAGUCAUAGGCAAGGGAGUAAAGUAUGGUGUAUAAAUUCAGGUCAAAUCACAACUAAAAUGGAAAGUUUUUCUUAUU